rnacentral:rRNA from 1 species
CGAAGUAGGCCUGCGCCGAAAAUUACCGGGGCUAAACUAUAUACCGAAGCUUUGGAUUUGUAUACAGAAGUAUAUGAGUGGUAGAGGAGCGUUGUGUACGGGAAGAAGUCAUACCGAGAGGAGUGGUGGACUGUACACAAGAGAGAAUGCUGGAAUAAGUAGCGAGAGCACAGUGAGAAUCUGUGCCACCGAAAACCUAAGGUUUCCUGGGGAAGGUUCGUCCGCCCAGGGUAAGUCGGGGCCUAAGAUGAGGCUGAGAAGCGUAGUCGAUGGGAAGCAGGUAAAAGAUUCCUGCACUACAAAUACGUGAUGAAGAGUUAAUGACGCAUGCUAAGAAGAUAAGCGAGCAAAUGGAAAAGUUCGUAUCGAAAGAUGGAGUGAAAAAAAGUAGCGAAGUAUCAGGAGAGUGUGACAAGAAAAGUUAACGUGGAGCGUAGGAGUACUCGUACCGUAAACCGACACAGGUAGGAAGAAAGAGAAUUUUCAGGUGAGCGAGAUAAAUAUUGUUAAGGAACUCGGCAAAUUAACCCCGUAACUUAGGGAUAAGGGGAGCCAACGAGAGUUGGUCGCAGUGAAAAGGCCCAAGCAACUGUUUAACAAAAACAUAGGUUUCUGCGAAAUCGAAAGAUGAAGUAUAGGAGCUGACGCCUGCCCAGUGCUGGAAGGUUAAGGGAAAGGGUUAGGAGUAAUCCGAAGCCUAGAACUAAAGCCCCAGUGAACGGCGGCCGUAACUAUAACGGUCCUAAGGUAGCGAAAUUCCUUGUCAGGUAAGUUCUGACCCGCACGAAAGGCGUAAUGAUUUGGGCACUGUCUCAACAAUAUUCUCGGCGAAAUUGUAGUACUAGUGAAGAUGCUAGUUACCUGUGAUAAGACAGAAAGACCCCAUGGAGCUUUACUGUAGCUUGAUAUUGAGACUAGGUAGAGGAUGUACAGGAUAGGUGGGAGACGAAGAGACAUGCACGCAAGUGUAUGAGGAGUCAACGUUGGGAUACCACCCUUCAACUAUUUGGAAUCUAACUAAUCGCCGUAAUCCGGAGAUAGGACAGUGUCAGGUGGGCAGUUUGACUGGGGCGGUCGCCUCCUAAAGAGUAACGGAGGCGUUCAAAGGUCAGCUUAGCACGGUCAGAAAUCGUGUGGAAAGUAUAAAGGUAGAAGCUGGCUUGAAUGUAAGAGUGACAACUCGAGCAAACGCGAAAGCGGGACUUAGUGACCCGAUGGUAGUGAGUGGAAAUGCCAGAGCUCAACGGAUAAAAGUUACCCUGGGGAUAACAGGCUUAUCUCCCCCGAGAGUCCAUAUCGACGGGGAGGUUUGGCACCUCGAUGUCGGCUCAUCGCAUCCUGGAGCGGAAGUACGUUCCAAGGGUUGGGCUGUUCGCCCAUUAAAGCGGUACGCGAGCUGGGUUCAGAACGUCGUGAGACAGUUCGGUCCUUAUCUAUCACAGGCGUAAGAUAUUUGAGAGGAGUUGCCCCUAGUACGAGAGGACCGGGGUGAAGUAACCGAUGGUGCACCAGUUGUAACACCAGAUGCAUAGCUGGGUAGCCAAGUUACGAAGGGAUAAACGCUGAAAGCAUCUAAGUGUGAAGCCCACCCUAAGAUAAGAUAUCCCAUACCGCAAGGUAGU